rnacentral:rRNA from 1 species
UAGCCGUAAACGAUACUCGCUAGGUGUCGGCCACGGUGCGACCGUUGUCGGUGCCGUAGGGAAGCCGUGAAGCGAGCCACCUGGGAAGUACGGCCGCAAGGCUGAAACUUAAGGGAAUUGGCGGGGGAGCACAACAACGGGUGGAGCUUGCGGUUUAAUUGGAUUCAACGCCGGAAAUCUUACCGGGACCGACAGCAACAUGAAGGCCAAGCUGAAGACUUUGCCGGAUUAGCUGAGAGGUGGUGCAUGGCGUAGUCGUGU